GAUGAACGCUGGCGGCGUGCCUAACACAUGCAAUUCGAGCGGGAUUCAUGAGGACGAACCGUCGGUCUAGAAAUCAUGAUGAGAGCGGCGGACGGGUGAGUAACGCGUAGGCAACCUGCCCUUAGCACAGGGAUAGCCUCUGGAAACCGGGACUAAACACUGAUAAUGCCAAACAGCCACAUGGCUGUUUGGCCAAAGAUUUAUCGGCUAAGGAUGGGCCUGCUUCGGAUUAGUUAGUUGGUGGGGUAACGGCCUACCAAGAAGACGAUCAGUAGACGACCUGAGAGGGUGAUCGGCCACAGUGGAACUGAGACACGGUCCAAACUCCUACGGGAGGCAGCAGUGGGGAAUAUUGCACAAUGGGCGAAAGCCUGAUGCAGCAACGCCGCGUGAGCGAUGAAGGCCUUUGGGUCGUAAAGCUCUGUCCUAGGGGACGAACACAAUGACGGUACCCUUGGAGGAAGCCCCGGCUAACUACGUGCCAGCCGCCGCAGUAAGAC
rnacentral:rRNA from 1 species